UACGAGUGCCCCAAGCGUUAUCCGGAAUCAUUGGGCGUAAAGGGUGUGUGAUGGUUGUCUUGUUAGUCUCUUGUGAAAUUCUUCGGCUUAACCGGGGGUCCGCAGGGGAAACGGCAAGACUAGAGGAUGUGAGAGGUGAAUGGAACUCAUGGUGUAGGGGUGAAAUCCGUUGAUAUCAUGGGGAACACCAAAAGCGAAGGCAAUUCACUGGCGCAUUCCUGACACUCAAACACGAAAGCGUGGGUAGCGAAUGGG
rnacentral:rRNA from 1 species